AGUAACACGUAGGUAAUCUACCUUUGAGUGGGGGAAUAACAAUCGGAAACGAUUGCUAAUACCGCAUAAUGCAGCGGCACCGCAAGGUGACAGUUGUUAAAGGAGCAAUCCGCUUAAAGAGGAGCCUGCGGCAGAUUAGCUAGUUGGUAAGGUAAUGGCUUACCAAGGCUACGAUCUGUAACCGACCUGAGAGGGUGGUCGGUCACACUGACACUGAAUAACGGGUCAG
rnacentral:rRNA from 1 species